rnacentral:rRNA from 1 species
UACAGAGGGUGCGAGCGUUAAUCGGAAUUACUGGGCGUAAAGCGUGCGUAGACGGUUAUUUAAGUCGGGUGUGAAAGCCCCGGGCUCAACCUGGGAAUUGCAUUCGAGACUGAAUAGCUAGGGUACGGUAGAGGGAAGCGGAAUUUCCGGUGUAGCGGUGAAAUGCGUAGAUAUCGGAAGGAACAUCAGUGGCGAAGGCGGUUCUCUGGGACGGUACUGACGCUGAGACGCGAAAGCGUGGGGAGCGAACAGG